rnacentral:rRNA from 1 species
UUUAUAGCCUCUGGCUAUGGGAAAUUGUUAGUGGCAGACGGGUGAGUAAUGCGUAGGAAUCUACCUAGUAGUACGGAAUAGCCAUUAGAAAUGGUGGGUAAUACUGUAUAAUCCCCGAGGGGGAAGGAUUUAUCGCUAUUAGAUGAGCCUACGUUAGAUUAGCUAGUUGGUGAGGUAAUGGCUUACCAAGGCUAUGAUCUAUAGCUGGUCUGAGAGGACGAUCAGCCACACUGGAACUGAUAUACGGUCCACACUCCUACGGGAGGCAGCAGUGGGGAAUAUUGGACAAUGGGCGAAAGCCUGAUCCAGCUAUGCCGCGUGAGUGAAGAAGGCCUUCGGGUUGUAAAACUCUUUCAAUAGGGAAGAUAAUGACGGUACCUAUAGAAGAAGUCCCGGCAAACUCUGUGCCAGCAGCCGCGGUAAUACGGAGGGGGCAAGCGUUGUUCGGAAUUAUUGGGCGUAAAGGGCACGUAGGUGGACUAGUAAGUUAAAAGUGAAAUACCAAAGCUUAACUUUGGAGCGGCUUUUAAUACUGCUAGACUAGAGGUCGAAAGAUGAUAGCGGAAUUCCUAGUGUAGAGGUGAAAUUCGUAGAUAUUAGGAGGAACACCAGUGGCGAAAGCGGCUAUCUGGUUCGAUACUGACACUGAGUGCGAAAGCGUGGGGGAGCAAACAGGAUUAG